rnacentral:rRNA from 1 species
AUUGAACGCUGGCGGCAGGCCUAACACAUGCAAGUCGAGCGGGGUUUUCGGACCUAGCGGCGGACGGGUGAGUAAUGCGUAGGAAGCUACCCGAUAGAGGGGGAUACCAGUUGGAAACGACUGCUAAUACCGCAUAAUGUCUACGGACCAAAGUGUGGGACCUUCUGGCCACAUGCUAUCGGAUGCGCCUACGUGGGAUUAGCUAGUUGGUGAGGUAAUGGCUCACCAAGGCGACGAUCCCCAGCUGGUUUGAGAGGAUGAUCAGCCACACUGGAACUGAGACACGGUCCAGACUCCUACGGGAGGCAGCAGUGGGGAAUAUUGGACAAUGGGCGCAAGCCUGAUCCAGCCAUGCCGCGUGUGUGAAGAAGGCCUUCGGGUUGUAAAGCACUUUCAGUAGGGAGGAAGCGUUGUGUGUUAAUAGUACACAGCGUUGACGUUACCUACAGAAGAAGCACCGGCUAACUCUGUGCCAGCAGCCGCGGUAAUAC